CUCUGAGCCGCCAGCCAGAUCCCUGGAAUCAAAGCCUGCGUUGGAAUGAAAUCCGAGAAGUCCUGUCCUAGGACCUGGGGUGGUGGGGACCAUCCGUUUGAUGAUCCUGCCUCCAGCGCUGUCAGGGCUCCACGUCGACGUUACCAGAUGGCCUUACGUCAGCAUCUCCAGUACCUUCUGAAAGCCCUAGAGCCAACUUUCCUAUUUGAAGAAAAGCAGGGAGUUCUCCAGAAUUUCUCCUGGUCGGAUGAGGCUACUGGGAAGUGAGUGGAGAAUCAGGGGUGGGGGUGGGGGGUGCUGGUUAAACAGCAGGUGUCCGGGGCCCUCCUGGAGAAUGACAGCGAGUGGCCCGCAGCCCCGUGGCCGCCCCCGGCCUUGCCCUGGGAGCUUGUUCCGACAAGAACGCGGAAACCUGCACUUGAACGCGGUGCCCUCGGGAUGUACGUUCACGCGAAAGUGGGCGAGCCACUGCCCCCCCCCCAGCUGUCCGCGGCGUCGGCCGCGCACUCAAAUCCACUGGAGUCAGGGCUCAGCCCGAGAAAUUCUGCAGUGGGGCCCCGGGCUUGUAGGUGUUAUGUUCACUUUUUUUUGUCAGGUUUUUAUUUAUUCAUGAGAGACACAGAGAGAGGCAGAGACACGUGCAGAGGGAGAAGCAGGCUCCAUGCAGGGACCCCGAUGCGGGACUUGAUCCCGGGACCCCGGGAUCACGCCCUGAGCCUAAAGCAGAUGCUCAACCCCUGGACCACCCGGGCGUCCCCAUAUUCACUUUUUGAACAUUUGCUAAGUCUGACAUAAAGAAAAGUGCCUGUGUCAUGUGCUCAGAUCAGUGAGUUUCCACCAGCGGGCCACACCCGUGGGGCCCAGAUCAAGAAUCAAGAGGUGACCUGUGGAUGACCUUGGGGUCACUACCACCCCCCCCAACAGAGACAGCCAGGUAAUGACGUCUAGCAGCGUAGCUUCGGGUCGUGCGGGCUGCUGUCUUCUGUGUCCCUCCCUGUUGACACUGUGGUGUGCAGCUGGGGAGGCUGUGUCCUCGGGGCCGUGCACGCUCCUUUGCAGGAACACUCCACGCUUUCCCUCCUGCUGCCCAGGGGCAUCGGGUGGCUUCCGGGUUGGGCCUAUUAUACACAGGGCACCUGUGUUUGUUCACGGUUCCCACAAUUUUGAUGUAGAGCCAGGUGUGACGGCCACUGACCCGGGUGAUGCCUCGUCCCCUCCGGCCUCCUGGCCCCGAGAGGCCGCCCCACCUGUCGGGAAGGAGCGCGCACCUUUGCGAUGACGCGGCCUGCCCCGUUCCCACCAGCAGCACCUUCAGAGCCCAUUGAGUCACGGCUGGCAGCUGUCCUUUUUUUGUUUGCUUCAUCUUUGUGUACAGCUGCCCAAGGAUGACAAACGGCCACUUCUAGAAGCUUCUGUAUUCUUCCAGGACAGCAGGCUCCAUGAUGUCCUUUAAAGUACAACCUUAUUUCCUUUCAGUUGAAGGCUCUGAUGAACACCCGUGCGUCUUCAAGCAUCUGGCGAGAGAGAAGGUGGCAGGGGGACUUCCUGCCCAGCCUUCCCGCUCCUGGUGGGUGGAUGGUUCAGAAAGGAGGUUAGGCCAAGGACGGGAGUGAGAGGAGGGAGUCACUGGUCAGGGGCCCAGAAUUUAAGAGGAUACCAAAUACUCUGCAAUCAAGACAAAUACAAUUUUAUUUAUUUAUUAUUUUUUUAAGAUUUUUUAUUUUAUUUAUUCAUAGAGACAGAGAGAGAGAGAGAGGCAGAGACACAGGCAGAGGGAGAAGCAGGCUCCAUGCAGGGAGCCCGACCUGGGACUCGAUCCCGGGUCUCCAGGAUCACGCCCUGGACUGCAGGCGGCGCUAAACCGCUGAGCCACUGGGGCUGCCCGACAAAUAUAAUUUUAAAGAUCUAAAUCAACGCAAAAAAUCCUUAAUGAACAAAACAUCAACCUGUUUAAGAUUUUAUUUCUUUGUUCAUGAGAGAUGCAGAGAGGCAGA